rnacentral:snoRNA from 2 species
AAUGCGAUGAUGAUUCAAAUGGUUUUGGCAGUGGUUAUCCAUUUGGACACCGUGAGCCUUCAAACCAAAAAACGACUUCUCUUUCCACUGAGCAUU